GGGGAUUUAGCUCAGCGGCAUAAGCACCUGCCUUGCAAGCAGGUGGUCGUAAUAAGUUCGAUCCCUG
rnacentral:tRNA from 1 species